GACGAACGCUGGCGGCGUGCUUAACACAUGCCAGUCGAACGAAGUGGCGAACGGGUGAGUAACGCGUAAUCAACCUGCCCUUCAGAGGGGGACAACAGUUGGAAACGACUGCUAAUACCGCAUACUGAUGGAGGGGAUUGCGUCUGAUUAGCUAGUUGGAGGGGGAACGGCCCACCAAGGCGGUGAUCGGUAGCCGGUCAGGGAGGAGUAACGGCCACAAUGGGACUGGAACACGGGCCAGACGCCUACGGGAGGCAGCAAUGGGGAAACUUCCGCAAAGGGCGAAAGUCUGACGGAGCAACGCCGCGUGAGUGAUGACGGCCUUCGGGUUGUAAAGCUCUGUUAAUCGGGACGCGGUACCGGAAUAGAAAGCCACGGCUAACUACGUGCCAGCCGCCGCGGUAAUUC
rnacentral:rRNA from 1 species